rnacentral:tRNA from 1 species
CGGACAGAAGCCCGCUGGAUUGGGUUUUUAGCUGUUAACUAAAGUUUCACGGGAUCGAGGCCCGUCUGUCUAG